rnacentral:rRNA from 1 species
GACGAACGCUGGCGGCGUGCUUAACACAUGCAAGUCGAACGGAAAGGCCCUGCUUUUGUGGGGUGCUCGAGUGGCGAACGGGUGAGUAACACGUGAGUAACCUGCCCUUGACUUUGGGAUAACUUCAGGAAACUGGGGCUAAUACCGGAUAGGAGCUCCUGCUGCAUGGUGGGGGUUGGAAAGUUUCGGCGGUUGGGGAUGGACUCGCGGCUUAUCAGCUUGUUGGUGGGGUAGUGGCUUACCAAGGCUUUGACGGGUAGCCGGCCUGGGAGGGUGACCGGCCACAUGGGGACUGAGAUAGGGCGCAGAAUCCUACGGGAGGCAGCAGUGGGGAAUAUUGCACAAUGGGCGGAAGCCUGAUGCAGCAACGCCGCGUGCGGGAUGACGGCCUUCGGGUUGUAAACCGCUUUCGCAUGUGACGAAGAGUGAGUGACGGUAAUGGGUAAAGAAGCACCGGCUAACUACGUG